rnacentral:rRNA from 1 species
GACGAACGCUGGCGGCGUGCUUAACACAUGCAAGUCGAACGAAGAGCGACGGAAGCUUGCUUCUAUCAAUCUUAGUGGCGAACGGGUGAGUAACGCGUAAUCAACCUGCCCUUCAGAGGGGGACAACAGUUGGAAACGACUGCUAAUACCGCAUACGAUCUAAUCUCGGCAUCGAGGAUGGAUGAAAGGUGGCCUCUACAUGUAAGCUAUCACUGAAGGAGGGGAUUGCGUCUGAUUAGCUAGUUGGAGGGGUAACGGCCCACCAAGGCGAUGAUCAGUAGCCGGUCUGAGAGGAUGAACGGCAACAUUGGGACUGAGACACGGCCCAGACUCCUACGGGAGGCAGCAGGGGGGAAUCUUCCGCAAUGGACGAAAGUCUGACGGAGCAACGCCGCGUGAGUGAUGACGGCCGUCGGGUUGUAAAGCUCUGUUAAUCGGGACGAAAGGCCUUCUUGCGAAUAGUGAGAAGGAUUGACGGUACCGGAAGAGAAAGCCACGGCUAACUACGUG